GGAGUUAGCCGGUGCUUCUUCUGUGAGUGAUGUCCUUCCUGCCGGUUAUUGACCCGCAGGCCUUCUUCCUCACUGAAAGUGCUUUACAACCCGAAGGCCUUCUUCACACACGCGGCAUGGCUGGAUCAGGGUUGCCCCCAUUGUCCAAUAUUCCCCACUGCUGCCUCCCGUAGGAGUCUGGGCCGUGUCUCAGUCCCAGUGUGGCUGAUCAUCCUCUCAGACCAGCUACGGAUCGUCGCCUUGGUGAGCCGUUACCUCACCAACCAGCUAAUCCGACAUAGGCUCAUCCGAUAGCGCGAGGCCCGAAGGUCCCCCGCUUUCCCCCGUAGGGCGUAUGCGGUAUUAGCCUGGGUUUCCCCAGGUUAUCCCCCACUACCGGGCAGAUUCCUAUGCAUUACUCACCCGUCCGCCGCUCGCCACCAGGGAGCAAGCUCCCCGUGCUGCCGCUCGACUUGCAUGUGUAGCNCGCCGCCAGCGUCAUCUGAGCCGAGAACUACGACCCGUACGA
rnacentral:rRNA from 1 species